UCCGCGCGCUAUUUCAGAUCGUGUUUCAGAUUAUAGCCUAUUCAGCGAAUGAGCUUAUAGACAGCUAAGAAUAAAUUGGUACAUACGUCAUAAUACCGCGUGCUGAGUAUUUUUACUACGAGUCUUUCAAAGAAUCAUCAAGCUGUUUCGCUUGGACCAAAAAACAGACGAAUGAGAUGUCAAUUACCCUUAAAUGAUCGGAGCUUAUUAGACGAAGUAUGUACAAAGGUUUGACAAUUUUAAUUAUGUAUAUAUAUACUUAAUACUUAUCACGUGGAUACUGCAAUUGUCACCUGCAAUUCACGUGCAGUUAUUCAGUCGAUGACUUUACUUAUAGUGUGAAUCAAAUGUAUUUCGGAGAAACGUUGGUAAAAAACAAUUGUAUUUAAAUAGUAUAUAUAUAUAUAUAUAUAGAAAUAUGAAAGUUACACAAUUUUAAAAAUAACUCUUAUUCAGUCCUCGAUGUAUACAUUGGUAGAAAUUACGUAAGCAGUUUUGAUUGUGCAUUAGUACAGAACGUACGCCGCUCCCUGGCACGUCGAUUUUGGAACCAAAUCUUCACCUAAAACAAAUUAAUCGUAAUCAUAAUUUGCAAGUAGAUCAAACAAUUUACAGCGAUUUUAUAGAUCCUGAUACCAUUUUUGAAAUCAUGAUUCCAAAAGCGAAGGAACAGACAAUUGUAUAUAAAAUAUAGAAAGAAUGACAUGUUUAUAUUUUCUUCUAGGAACGACAAAUUUGUAAAUUAUUGAGACGUACCCUGUUGGAUGGGAGAUUCAGCAUAUUCGAUAUUUUCGAUAAGUCUUCUCUCGAAAUGUAAGCGCUGUUUCGAAACUUCUGCUCUAGGAAGCAAAGUUGAAACGUUGAGAACGGUAUUCGAGGAUGAGCACUUGGUCUUCUUCUAUUUCUGUUAACCGCUGAUUUCCUGUGAAUCUUCGGUGGCUUGUAUCUCGUACAUUCAAGCCAUUCCAAUUUCCUUGCGUUCUGCACCUCUAAGUCCUCUGAUUUAUUUUUUAACCAUUUAGUCGGCUUUUUAUUUCCGUUCUCUAAUAACGAACGUUUACUUUCAUUAUUACAAUCCUUGUUUGUGCAUCCUUUUAAUUGUCUUCCUUGAACGCAGUCCACAUUCGAAUUUACUGAAUCCUUUUGCGCCUCGUUUACUCGAGCAACACAACGGUAAUUUUCAAUUUUAUCGUUUCCACUGAACUGCUCAUUUUCAGUUAUCAUACACGCGUUAUCCGCUAAAAUACUCUCUAUACUAAAGUCUUUCCGCAUUCUAGCCGACCUCAUGUCGAAACUACGACUGCGGUAGCUUAAAUAAAAAUCCUCUUUAUAUACGGUGCCCUAUUACAUGCUACUUUGACCACCCCAAAUUUUAGCGACCCACGGUGGUCGAGGAUCAGUUACGAAUUAUACGCAUAGUUGAGCAUCGCGAUGUUAUCUUGCCAGGCCGAUGUAACAACAUCCAGUGACUUUCAACUUAAUUCAUUUCAUCUUAAUUUUUAUGUAUUAUGAACGUAUUAACAGAAUUUUAUUUUUAAUCUUCGGAACCCCCGUUCCCCGAUUCUGCUUCAUAAUUAUUUAAAUUCUGUCUUAUUAAAUUGUCUGCAAAUAAAACUGGAGCCACCAGUUGAGUCAUAGAACAGUACAAAUUCUAUAAAAUUGAUUGAAGAACCAGGCCAAAGGUACAAAUCGUGCUUCAACAGAAGUAAAAAGAUUUAAAUGACGAACACUGGCGGUGGUACUCGAAAUAUCACAUAAUCCAAAACGUAUUAUCCACGGGAUAUCGAUCCGUGGUUCAGCUACAACAAUGUAAUUGAUAUUCUUGUGGGGAGAGAAUAAAAAGAUGAAUGAAGCGUGAUGCACCGUGUGCUCCAACGUGGUGAUUUCAAUAGGGCAGAUGGGAUGAUGAUACCACGUUCAAGUUGAUACAAUUAGAAAGUAUAAAGUAUCGGGAUUAUCGGAUAUAAAGAAAGAACAUAAAUAUUUACGACUCUUCACAAUAGAUGUGCCGUGACUUAAUGAUAUUGUAUCGUAUAUAAGAACUUUUCUUCGGUCCCAUUUGAAUAUUUUAGUAUUAUAAAAAUUAUUUCAUUUAUGUCUCAAUGGUAUACGGGGCACAGGGUAACUUCCAUUGACAUUCGGACAGAUUAUUUUGUUUGCGCGAUGUAAUAGGAACAAUGAAAAUGAGUAGUCAGUGAUAUUUGCAUUCAUAAGUUCGUAUGUAUUUCAUUUAAUUUAAUGCUAUCUAUUUUACAAAUCCUUAUGAAGGACAAUCUAUGUAAAGAAAGGAUCGAGGUUCGUUGAUGGUACUGUGAAACGAUCGGCAAAUGCGUACAUGUCCAUCGGAGUAGGUUCUCUAUACUUGUCUUUAGAUACAGUUUCAUAUAUCGGGACUCCAAA